UCUCUCUCUCUCUCUCUGUCUAUCUCUGUCUUCAUCGAAUAGGCUAUGACUUCUAUUUAUACGACAUCACGAUCGUGCGUGACGGCGUACGGUACGGCAUUGCUUAUACUUUCUUACGCACCGAUCACAUUUUUCUAUUCUAACAAAUGAAACGCGAUAAUUAUAAAUCCUUCUUAUAGAAAAUAGUUAAUUCGUUAAUUAUUCCUUUUAGCUAGAGAAUUUCGAUGAUAAUCGAAUUGAUAAAAAAAAAGUAGCAUAACGUAGAAGCAUAUCGAGUAAUAACGGAAAAGGUCGAUUGAGAAAUCGAUUGCAUUCGAUAUAUCUCGUAGGUUCUUUUCCUCGUUUUCGAGAACACGCUGUUCUGAUGUUGCAUAGCACUUUUGUGAUAUAUGUAUUGUGUGCGCGUGUAAUGGCUCGUAUCUCGUCCACGUUUUACAAAGUAUCGAGAAAGGCCGCGAUAUACGCCGAUAAAUGUCGUUGAUUCACUAGUAAAAGGGACAAGAAGCGGGAAAUUCGAAUACUCGUUCGAUUGACGACGUUAUAACCUAGUCUUCUCGAGUGACACUCAGAUCGUACUUUCAAGGUAAGUUAAUCCUAUAAACGUAUUACACCCUUUUAUAUUCCCUUUAUCUUCGUUUCUUUGUGUUAUUCAUAUUGAAAUAAUACGAAGCGAGCAAUGCAUGAAUAUCUUCCGUAAACGCGGUACAUUUCGAACUCUUUUGUUUAGCGCGCUCGAGGAAUGUGCGAUGAGCUAUAAACGAGAUACGCCGAGGUCUCGCGUGAAUAUAACUCGAAAGAGAAAGAGAGAGAAAGAAAACGAGAGAAUGAAUAGGUUAAUUAACAUUAAUCGGAAUGUGAAGUCCUUGCUGACAUACAUAUCCAUACAAAAAAAUACGGAAAGAAAAAAAAGUAAUAAUAGUAUUCGUAGAGGAUGUUCUUGUUCUUUUUUUCUUUUUUCUUUCUCCUUCUUUUUUUUAUCCUGAUAUCAUGGUCAUCGAAAUGAAACGGUGUGAUUCGUUUAUCGAAUGAAAAAAUAUAACAGAAGUAUCGCGAAGUUACUUUUUCUAUCUAUUUUGAAGUAUUAAAUUAAUGUUUCAAGUUUGAAAUAGCCCACAAUAAAAUGAAUAUGAAUCUUAAAUAAUAAAACGUCCUACGGGCGCUCGAAAACUUAGAAUGGAUCGUUUAUAGAUCGUAAUAAACGUAAAUUACGCGCUAUCGUCUUCGCUCUUGAUCGUAACUCGCGCUCGUGUUCAUCGAUAAAGUCGUUUUUUCGUUAUCGUUUACGGUCAUAAGGCAUGCGAUCUUUGUUUCUACGAUUUUGUUUUAUUAAUUAUUUUUUUUCGUUCGAAAGAAAAAGUUAAUUUUCUUCCCGGUUCCCUUGAACGGAUAAUAGUGAACGUCGAAAAGAUUUUUCGACGAAAGAAAUUUCUUCGUUAUAUCAAACAACAAACAAAUUGAUUUUCGUCUUGUAGUCUACGAUUUUUCCCUAGGGAGAAUAAAGUCUACGUAACUUUUUCGGUAAUCCACGAUCGAGCUUGUAGUUCGAGAGAAAGAUAAGAAUAGGAGAAGAGAGAGAGAGAAAGAGAGAUUUGUUCGACAUCGAUACAGAACGAUAACGAGGCUAAUAAACACUCAAAAGAUAAGACACCUCGUAUGGCGCAAAGUAGAUCUCGAUCUCGGAUUCGUCACGAGCAGCGUUGUAAAUUACCACGUGAUAAAAGAAAAAUCGAGAAUACAUUGAUCAAAGGGGAAAAAAUGUUUCAUCGAUGAACAAGUGCAAUUAUUCAAAAAAAUUCCAUAACCCCGUCGAAUUCGAACUGCCUGCGAGUUAUUUUUUAUAGAAACUUCACGUCGAUCAAAGCGAUGAAAAACUUCGAAAGAGUCAAAGAGAAACGAUGGAUGAUCUUUGGCGCGAAAAAAAAUUUUUCACGAAUCCGUAUGAUGUUAUCAACGUAUCAACAUUAAUGGAAGUUGUAUCAAUAUUAAUCCUUUAAAAUUAUACUAUUCGCUCACCUCUAAUGCAUUUCUUCGUUGAAUCAAAAAAGAAAUAACAUUGUUAUUUCCUGUGUGACUUUAUCGCAUAAAACCAAGGAUGUUUUGGAAAUACGAGAAUUUUGCUUUGAAUGUAUUAAAUUAGGAACAACACGACAUAUACAAGCUGAGUCAAUAAUCAUGAAAGCUUUUGAAUAUUAUAUAACAUGAAAAAAAAAAGGGAACAAAAAAAAUUGUUCCGCUCUAUUGGGAUAAAUCGAUUUUGAAAUCGUAACUAAAGUACAUUUUACUCCGCGAUCGAUGGAUAAUAGCGACACGAGUCACGUUUCGUGGAAAACCUUUACAAUGUGAACACGAAGUUACCAAGGAGGAGGAAGGUCGAAGCGAUUCUGAAAGUCGAGUAAACAGAAAUACAUUAUAUUAUGAGGUAAAUGGAAAAGUCCGCAAUUGCAGAAGCCAUGAUUGUAAUUUUCCGGAAAGGAAGGAUACACGCGAUGCGGGUUUUAAUCCUGCGUCUGUUCAUUGCAGAGGUUGAUUGAAAAGAGACUAGUAUUUUUAGUGAUUUAUAAUAAUAUUCCAAUAUUCUAUAUAACUAAUAGAUUAUAUUUAAAUAUUACUAAAAAAAAGAGAGAGA